rnacentral:misc_RNA from 1 species
GAUGAAGAACGUAGCGAAAUGCGAUAAGUAAUGUGAAUUGCAGAAUUCAGUGAAUCAUCGAAUCUUUGAACGCAUCUUGCGCUCCUUGGUAUUCCGAGGAGCAUGCCUGUUUGAGUGUCAUUAAUAUAUCAACCUUCUCUUUUUUGAGUUGUUUGGAUGUGGGGGUUUGCUGGCCUCUUAAAUGAUUCAGCUCCCCUGAAAUGCAUUAGCAGAACAACCUGUUCAUUAGCGUGAUAAUUAUCUAUGCUAUUGAAUGUGAGGGCAGUUCAGCUUUCUAACCGUCCUUGGACAAUUCAUCAUUAAUGUGACCUCAAAUCAGGUAGGACUACCCGCUGAACUUAAGCAUAUCAAUAAGCGGAGGA